UUUAAAGAAGAAGAUAUUGUGAAAUCGCGGAAGAUUGAUUAUUCAGGUGGAAUAAUCAAAGAAUAUGAAUUGAAACGAUGGACCCUAUUGCCAAAUGCUGUACCAGUUAACCUACAGCCAAGACAAUAUGAUAUUGAAGUAAAGUUUUAUAGAAAAUUUCAUUGACUUUCAAAGAUAUUACAAACUUUGUACUAACUUUAAAUGUAGCUUUCAGAAAAUCAAGAAAACCUGCACUAUCAAACGGUUAAAAUAAUAAAUGACGAUAAAUUUUCAAAGAAGCCAACCAUCAAUGUGCGAAAGCCUUUUCAACAGUUGGACAAUCGUAUUAACAUUAGAAAAAAACCAGCGUCAACAUCAA